rnacentral:rRNA from 1 species
UACGAAGGUCCCAAGCGUUAUCCGGAUUUAUUGGGUUUAAAGGGUGCGUAGGCGGACUAUUAAGUCAGUGGUGAAAUAUGGCAGCUCAACUGUCAGGGUGCCAUUGAUACUGCAGAGCUUGAGUACAGAUGAGGUAGGCGGAAUUGACGGUGUAGCGGUGAAAUGCUUAGAUAUCGUCAAGAACACCGAUAGCGAAGGCAGCUUACUGGGCUGUAACUGACGCUGAGGCACGAAAGUGUGGGGAUCAAACAGG